rnacentral:rRNA from 1 species
UUCCGGUUGAUCCUGCCGGAGGUCACUGCUAUCUGGAUUCGGUUUAUCCAUGCGAGGCGAGUGUGCCCUCGGGCAACACGCCAUACUGCUGAGUAACACGUAGUUAAUUUGCCCUUAGGUAGGGGAUAAACUUGGGAAACUGAGGCUAAUACCCUAUAGGUUAUGGAUAUUGGAAUAUUCCAUAACUGAAAGUUCCGACGCCUAAGGAUAGGACUGCGCCCUAUCAGGUUGUUGUCAGGAUAAAAACCUGACAAGCCUAUAACGGGUAAGGGCCAUGAGAGUGGAUGCCCUCAGAUGUCUUCUGAGACAUGAAGACAGGGCCUACGGGUCGCAGCAGGAGCGAAAACUUUCCAAUGCGUUCACGCGUGAGAAGGGAAUCUGGAGUGUUUGUACUAAGUACAAUCUUUUGUUUAGGCUAAAAAUCUAGACGAAUAAGGAGUGGGCCAGACGGGUGCCAGCCGCCACGGUAAUACCCGCGCUCCAAGUGGUGAUCACUAUUAUUGGGCUUAAAGCGUCCGUAGCCGGUUCAGCAAGUUUCUGGUGAAAUCCUGCAGCUAACUGCAGGGCGUGCUGGAAAUACUACUGAACUUGGGACCGGGAGAAGGUGAAGGUAUUCCAUGUGUAGGGGUUAAAUCCUUUAAUCCAUGGAGGACCACCUGUGGCGAAGGCGUUCACCUAGAACGGGUCUGACGGUGAGGGACGAAAGCUAGGGGAGCGAUUGGGAUUAGAUACCCCAGUAGUCCUGGCUGUAAACGAUGCCCGUUUGGUGUUGCAUGUCUUACGUGGACAUGCAGUGCCGGAGUGUAAAUGUUAAACGGGCCGCCUGGGGAGUACGUCCGCAAGGAUGAACUUAAGGAAUUGGCGGGGGAGCACACAGGAGUGGAGGCUGCGGUCAAUUGGACUCACGUCGGUAUCGUCGACGGCAG